rnacentral:lncRNA from 1 species
UGGCGGCAAGUUCUAAGUCAUGAGUGGGAUAAUUCUUAUCAUGACUCUUCAACUACUUGUACCCAUAGGUUAUGACCUUCCUAUGCUGCAUCAAAACACAACCCAACCCUAGGUAAGAGAUAUCACUAUAUAUUAUGUAUGUACCUGUCCCACUCGGUAAAGCCAAUACAGGUGCACUAGUCAACCACUUCUUGAGUUCCAUAAAGCUCAUUUUGUAAUCAUCGUUUCAUUUAAACUUAACGUUCUUCUUUGUAAGCUAG